UUCAAAGUUCAGCCGCUGGAUUAAAGAUCUAUCCAUAACUCCACCUCUGACAGAGAUUACCAACGUUAUUAAAGGGAGCUGCUCCUCAUAUACGGAUAUCGCCAUGUUGCAUCACCGUGUUUCUACAGUAGCCCAGAAAGGACACACCAAACACUGGCUCCAGGUGGUUACAGCGAGGCCCUCUGGGAUAAUGAGACCUCAGCUCUGUGGUGGCCCUGAAGACUUCGGCCCCAUCAGUGUCACGUUAACGGUUUACUACAGAAAUAGAAACUGGGCAGAGAUGAAAGAGGAGUUGGCGGAGGAGGCUGUUGGCGGUAAAAACACCAUAAAGGC